CCUACGGUGGGCUGCAGUGGGGAAUAUUGGACAAUGGGCGAAAGCCUGAUCCAGCCAUGCCGCGUGUGUGAAGAAGGCCUUCGGGUUGUAAAGCACUUUCAGUGGGGAAGAAAGCCUUGGGGCUAAUACCCUCGAGGAAGGACAUCACCCACAGAAGAAGCACCGGCUAACUCCGUGCCAGCAGCCGCGGUAAUACGGAGGGUGCGAGCGUUAAUCGGAAUUACUGGGCGUAAAGCGCGCGUAGGCGGUCUGAUAAGCCGGUUGUGAAAGCCCCGGGCUCAACCUGGGAACGGCAUCCGGAACUGUCAGGCUAGAGUGCAGGAGAGGAAGGUAGAAUUCCCGGUGUAGCGGUGAAUUGCGUAGAGAUCGGGAGGAAUACCAGUGGCGAAGGCGGCCUUCUGGACUGACACUGACGCUGAGGUGCGAAAGCGUGGGUAGCAAACAGGAUUAGAUACCCUGGUAGUC
rnacentral:rRNA from 1 species